ensembl:lncRNA
UAGAGAAUGAGACUGAGAACGAGACGGAGAACGGGACGGAGAACUAGAGAAUGAGACUGAGAAACGGAGACGGAGAGACGGGACGGAGAAGUAGAGAAUGAGACUGAGAACGAGACGGAGAACGGGACGGAUGAAUAGAGAAUGAGACUGAGAACGAGACGGAGAACGAGACGGAGAAGUAGAGAAUGAGACUGAGAACGAGACGGAGAAGUAGAGAAUGAGACGGAGAACGGGAGAACGAGACGGAGACAGGAUGGUCAGACGGACAGACGAUCAGAACAUCCUGAAUGUUCUGCCGUUAGAGCAGUGUCCUUGUUAGAAAGUCCUCCCUCCGUCUCUCUCGAUCCUGCACCGUCUCUCUGUCUCGUGCUUUCUUUUCAUCUCCCUCCUUUUGUUCCUGUUGUGUCCUUUCAGGCGGCGUACAUUGUUUGAACAAAUUCGAGCGUGUUCUGUGAAAGCCCUGAGUUGGCCGCGAGCCCGUGUUCCACGAUGAUCAAUCCCAAGUGAGCGUCAACGCUGCUAUAUUUAGGCCGAGAGAAUGUGUGCGUGUGCGUGUGUGUGUGUGUGUGUGUGUGUGUGUGUUCCUGCGUGCGUGUGCAUCUCUCAUAGGUGUUUAUUGGUUCCAUGCAAACCUUCAUUUCGAAGUAAUUGAAGUGGAUAGGAGGGUUUAACACGUGUUGAGUUGGCUUUGUGUUUUGUGGAGGAAAUGCCAUUAUUACACACAUCACACACACACACACACACACACACACACACACGCGCACUUCUGGAUAAUGUACAUCUAGUUAUACUUCAUCGGGUCCUCACGUGCCUGUGUGAUACAUCACAUAUGAACGACUCCAAGUGUGGGUGUAAUAGUUGCUUUAUAAACCGAUCAGUUCCGUGUUCAUUCGAAUCACGUGCGAUAACGUCAGGUGUGUACACGUGUGUAACUCAGCAUCUACGCUUUAGCCAGCCCCUCAAGGGUUUCGCCAUUUCCGCGAUCGCAGACGAUAACGCAAAAUCAAGGAAUCGAGGAAAGACGCCGUGUCGGGAGGAGCGCGUGGUUUUCGUACGUCACGUGACGUCAUCGCGACACGAAGGCCUCUCAGAUUCACGCGCGCCGAACACGAGUACAGCUAAAAGGUCGCGUUUACCGACAAAAACCGCACAAAGCUAUCUUUUUGGCCGCGGCGAUCACAAAAAAAUGAAGCUCUGUGACGUCCUGCACGGACGGGUUUAGCUGUAGCGUUGGCCUGUUGCUAUGGUGAUAAGGGGAAAACUAUUUAUUUAUUUAUUUAUUUAUUAUUUUUUUUUUUUUGUUCAGGUAAAUCAGCAAUCAGACUAAAGAUGAAUAAAAUUCACAUAGCAGGAACAUAAAAACCUUCUAAUUGUGGUUCCUUUCAGUUCCUCUUAACUUUAUGUCGAAUUGACAAGUCUUGCGAGCCAAUAGGAAACAAGUGGGCGGGGCUGUGGUCUCUUGCUAAAAGAAUAGUGGCGCUGCUUAUUAUUAAAGUACUUUUGCCUCGCUGUUUUCUUACAUUUGUGGGGAAAAAUUUUCUUGUUCGCGAAUGUUAGAACCAGUGUGUGUGUGUGUGUGUGUGUGUGCGCUGUGGCUUCUAUCAAAACCUCCCCUUCGUUCCUUCUGUGUGUUACACGAGAACGGAGUUUUAGCAUCCUGGAGGACCUCUUUUACGGAAGAGGCUGCGUUUGGAUUUGCGAGUAGGAUCUGCGGCUGAGCGCGAGAGAGAGGUCGCGAGGAGACAUGAUGUGAUUGAUAAGAUAUUCACCGGGUUUUUGCGGAUAAUAAUGUUGUUGUUUGUUGUUCGGGCCGAGCUCGGUGAUUUCUCACAGAGGAAAUGAACACACUCGUACUCUCAUCUUGGCAGCUUGCCAAAAAAGGAGAAAGCAAGACACUUGCACGCACUUUCCUGAUCAGCUGCCAGAGUUCAGAGCAGAUUGUGUGUGUGUGU